UACGUAGGUGGCAAGCGUUGUCCGGAUUUACUGGGCGUAAAGAGCGCGCAGGCGGUUGGAUAAGUCGAAUGUGAAAGCCCCCGGCUCAACUGGGGAGGGUCACGCGAUACUGAUCGACUCGAAGGCAGGAGAGGGAAGUGGAAUUCCCGGUGUAGUGGUGAAAUGCGUAGAUAUUGGGAGGAACACCAGUGGCGAAGGCGGCUCACUGGACCGGAACUGGACGCUGAGGCGCGAAAGCGUGGGGAGCAAACAGG
rnacentral:rRNA from 1 species